AGAGUUUGAUCCUGGCUCAGAUUGAACGCUGGCGGCAUGCCUUACACAUGCAAGUCGAACGGCAGCGCGGGAGCAAUCCUGGCGGCGAGUGGCGAACGGGUGAGUAAUACAUCGGAACGUGCCCAAUCGUGGGGGAUAACGCAGCGAAAGCUGUGCUAAUACCGCAUACGAUCUACGGAUGAAAGCAGGGGACCCGCAAGGGCCUUGCGCGAAUGGAGCGGCCGAUGGCAGAUUAGGUAGUUGGUGGGGUAAAGGCUCACCAAGCCGACGAUCUGUAGCUGGUCUGAGAGGACGACCAGCCACACUGGGACUGAGACACGGCCCAGACUCCUACGGGAGGCAGCAGUGGGGAAUUUUGGACAAUGGGCGCAAGCCUGAUCCAGCCAUGCCGCGUGCAGGAUGAAGGCCUUCGGGUUGUAAACUGCUUUUGUACGGAACGAAAAGUCUCCUUUUAAUAAAGGGGGA
rnacentral:rRNA from 1 species